rnacentral:piRNA from 1 species
UAAGUCAAGAAGGGACCUAUGAGGGACAUU